rnacentral:rRNA from 1 species
AUUGAACGCUGGCGGCAUGCUUUACACAUGCAAGUCGAACGGUAACAGGUUAAGCUGACGAGUGGCGAACGGGUGAGUAAUGCAUCGGAACGUGCCCGGUCGUGGGGGAUAACGCAGCGAAAGCUGCGCUAAUACCGCAUACGAUCUGAGGAUGAAAGCGGGGGACCGUAAGGCCUCGCGCGAUCGGAGCGGCCGAUGUCAGAUUAGGUAGUUGGUGGGGUAAAGGCUCACCAAGCCAACGAUCUGUAGCUGGUCUGAGAGGACGACCAGCCACACGGGGACGGAGACACGGCCCAGACUCCGACGGGAGGCAGCAGUGGGGAAUUUUGGACAAUGGGCGAAAGCCUGAUCCAGCAAUGCCGCGUGCAGGAAGAAGGCCUUCGGGUUGUAAACUGCUUUUGUACGGAGCGAAAAGGUCUCCUCUAAUACAGGGGGCUCAUGACGGUACCGUAAGAAUAAGCACCGGCUAGCUACGUGCCAGCAGCCGCCGUAA